rnacentral:rRNA from 1 species
GGUUAAGCGACUAAGCGUACACGGUGGAUGCCCUGGCAGUCAGAGGCGAUGAAGGACGUGCUAAUCUGCGAAAAGCGUCGGUAAGGUGAUAUGAACCGUUAUAACCGGCGAUGUCCGAAUGGGGAAACCCAGUGUGAUUCGUCACACUAUCGUUAACUGAAUACAUAGGUUAACGAGGCGAACCGGGGGAACUGAAACAUCUAAGUACCCCGAGGAAAAGAAAUCAACCGAGAUUCCCCCAGUAGCGGCGAGCGAACGGGGAGCAGCCCAGAGUCUGAAUCAGCUUGUGUGUUAGUGGAACGGUCUGGAAAGUCCGACGGUACAGGGUGAUAGUCCCGUACACCAAAAUGCACAGGUUGUGAACUCGAAGAGUAGGGCGGGACACGUGGUAUCCUGUCUGAAUAUGGGGGGACCAUCCUCCAAGGCUAAAUACUCCUGACUGACCGAUAGUGAACCAGUACCGUGAGGGAAAGGCGAAAAGAACCCCGGCGAGGGGAGUGAAAAAGAACCUGAAACCGUGUACGUACAAGCAGUGGGAGCACCUUCGGGUGUGACUGCGUACCUUUUGUAUAAUGGGUCAGCGACUUAUAUUCUGUAGCAAGGUUAACCGUAUAGGGGAGCCGCAGGGAAACCGAGUCUUAACUGGGCGUUAAGUUGCAGGGUAUAGACCCGAAACCCGGUGAUCUAGCCAUGGGCAGGUUGAAGGUUGGGUAACACUAACUGGAGGACCGAACCGACUAAUGUUGAAAAAUUAGCGGAUGACUUGUGGCUGGGGGUGAAAGGCCAAUCAAACCGGGAGAUAGCUGGUUCUCCCCGAAAGCUAUUUAGGUAGCGCCUCGUGAAUUCAUCUUCGGGGGUAGAGCACUGUUUCGGCUAGGGGGUCAUCCCGACUUACCAACCCGAUGCAAACUACGAAUACCGAAGAAUGUUAUCACGGGAGACACACGGCGGGUGCUAACGUCCGUCGUGAAGAGGGAAACAACCCAGACCGCCAGCUAAGGUCCCAAAGUCAUGGUUAAGUGGGAAACGAUGUGGGAAGGCACAGACAGCCAGGAUGUUGGCUUAGAAGCAGCCAUCAUUUAAAGAAAGCGUAAUAGCUCACUGGUCGAGUCGGCCUGCGCGGAAGAUGUAACGGGGCUAAACCAUGCACCGAAGCUGCGGCAGCGACACUAUGUGUUGUUGGGUAGGGGAGCGUUCUGUAAGCCUGCGAAGGUGGCCUGUGAGGGCUGCUGGAGGUAUCAGAAGUGCGAAUGCUGACAUAAGUAACGAUAAAGCGGGUGAAAAGCCCGCUCGCCGGAAGACCAAGGGUUCCUGUCCAACGUUAAUCGGGGCAGGGUGAGUCGACCCCUAAGGCGAGGCCGAAAGGCGUAGUCGAUGGGAAACAGGUUAAUAUUCCUGUACUUGGUGUUACUGCGAAGGGGGGACGGAGAAGGCUAUGUUAGCCGGGCGACGGUUGUCCCGGUUUAAGCAUGUAGGCGGAGGUUCCAGGUAAAUCCGGUACCUUUUAACGCUGAGGUGUGAUGACGAGGCACUACGGUGCUGAAGUAACAAAUGCCCUGCUUCCAGGAAAAGCCUCUAAGCAUCAGGUAACAUUAAAUCGUACCCCAAACCGACACAGGUGGUCAGGUAGAGAAUACCAAGGCGCUUGAGAGAACUCGGGUGAAGGAACUAGGCAAAAUGGUGCCGUAACUUCGGGAGAAGGCACGCUGGUGUGUAGGUGAAGUCCCUGCGGACGGAGCUGAGACCAGUCGAAGAUACCAGCUGGCUGCAACUGUUUAUUAAAAACACAGCACUGUGCAAACACGAAAGUGGACGUAUACGGUGUGACGCCUGCCCGGUGCCGGAAGGUUAAUUGAUGGGGUUAUCCGUAAGGAGAAGCUCUUGAUCGAAGCCCCGGUAAACGGCGGCCGUAACUAUAACGGUCCUAAGGUAGCGAAAUUCCUUGUCGGGUAAGUUCCGACCUGCACGAAUGGCGUAAUGAUGGCCAGGCUGUCUCCACCCGAGACUCAGUGAAAUUGAACUCGCUGUGAAGAUGCAGUGUACCCGCGGCAAGACGGAAAGACCCCGUGAACCUUUACUAUAGCUUGACACUGAACAUUGAGCCUUGAUGUGUAGGAUAGGUGGGAGGCUUUGAAGCGUGGACGCCAGUCUGCGUGGAGCCAACCUUGAAAUACCACCCUUUAAUGUUUGAUGUUCUAACGU